GGGGAUGUAGCUCAGUGGUAGAGUAUUUGCCUUGUAUGCACAAGGCCCUGGGUUCAAUCCCCCAUCCUCC
rnacentral:tRNA from 1 species